rnacentral:rRNA from 1 species
UGGGGAAUAUUGCACAAUGGGCGCAAGCCUGAUGCAGCCAUGCCGCGUGUAUGAAGAAGGCCUUCGGGUUGUAAAGUACUUUCAGUCGGGAGGAAGGUGGUAAGGUUAAUAACCUUAUCAAUUGACGUUACCGACAGAAGAAGCACCGGCUAACUCCGUGCCAGCAGCCGCGGUAAUACGGAGGGUGCAAGCGUUAAUCGGAAUUACUGGGCGUAAAGCGCACGCAGGCGGUUGAUUGAGUCAGAUGUGAAAUCCCCGGGCUUAACCCGGGAAUUGCAUCUGAUACUGGUCAGCUAGAGUCUUGUAGAGGGGGGUAGAAUUCCAUGUGUAGCGGUGAAAUGCGUAGAGAAGUGGAGGAAUACCGGUGGCGAAGGCGGCCCCCUGGACAAAGACUGACGCUCAGGUGCGAAAGCGUGGGGAGCAAACAGG